rnacentral:rRNA from 1 species
UGUAAAGGUCAGAGCCUACGCUAAAGGCUCUGGAUCCCAUCUGAUCUUAGAAGCUAAACAGGAUCGGCCCAUGUUAGUAUUUGGAUGGGAGACCACACAUGAAAACUAGCACUGUGUGAU